rnacentral:rRNA from 1 species
UACGUAGGGUGCAAGCGUUAAUCGGAAUUACUGGGCGUAAAGCGUGCGCAGGCGGUUUUGUAAGUCUGUCGUGAAAGCCCCGGGCUCAACCUGGGAAUUGCGAUGGAGACUGCAAGGCUUGAAUCUGGCAGAGGGGGGUAGAAUUCCACGUGUAGCAGUGAAAUGCGUAGAGAUGUGGAGGAACACCGAUGGCGAAGGCAGCCCCCUGGGUCAAGAUUGACGCUCAUGCACGAAAGCAUGGGGAGCGAACGGG